GUGCCAGCCGCCGCGGUAAUACGGAGGGUGCGAGCGUUGUCCGGAAUCACUGGGCGUAAAGGGCGCGUAGGUGGCCCGUGGAAGUCUGCGGUGAAAGCCCGGCGCUCAACGCCGGGUCGGCCGUGGAUACUCUCGGGCUUGAGCUCACUAGAGGCAGAUGGAAUUCCGGGUGUAGCGGUGGAAUGCGUAGAGAUCCGGAAGAACACCGGUGGCGAAGGCGGUCUGCUGGGGUGAGGCUGACACUGAUGCGCGACAGCGUGGGGAGCAAACAGGAUUAGAUACCCUUGUAGUCC
rnacentral:rRNA from 1 species